ACCUGGGUACAGGUGCAGGGCACAAGGCCAGAGUCAAACUCUUUCAUCUGUGGGACCCCAGGCAAUCUGCUACCCCUCCCCAUCCCUCAGAGCCUGUAACCACCCACCUCAGAGGGCUGGCAAGGAGCGAUGCAAUGUUUGUGGAGUGUUUAACUUGGGCCAACCCCUGGAAGCCAAGAAACCCACUCUUGAAGAGGAAGGCCCCAUCAACGGCUGUGGGUGACACGCACAUGUGGACCUAAAGGACUCAUCUCUCCCAGCAGCGUCACCCCAGAGGCCAAGCUGUCAGCACGUGAGCCUUAGGUGGCGUUCAGCAUCCAGAGAGGGCACAGCUGGGUGACUUCCUGAAGAGACACGGCAGCUGAGAGGCCAUGAGACCACAAACAGAUGACCCCGAGAGACCCAGUCCUGGUCAGUGUUCCUUGCAGCUGUCUUAGGAACCCAAGAAGAGAGUCUGUCUGAGAAAGAAAAGCUGACAUUAAAGCCGUAAAACUGGGUAUGAAUGGGCCGCCGGGAUCACGCUGUGCCUGAAUGACUGUGGCUUUCAGUAUCCCUUGUGAGUUGAGC
rnacentral:lncRNA from 1 species